UACGUAGGGCCCGAGCAUUAUCCGGAAUUAUUGGGCGUAAAGAGCGUGUAGGUGGCUCUACAAGUCGGUCGUUAAAUCUCACUGCUCAACAGUGAGGCUGCGAGCGAUACUGUAGGGCUUCGAGGUUUGCAGGGGUGAGCAGAAUUUCUGGAGUAGGGGUGAAAUCCGUUGAUACCAGAAGGAAUACCAAUGGCGAAGGCAGCUCACUGGGCAACACCUGACACUGAGACGCGAAAGCGUGGGGAGCGAA
rnacentral:rRNA from 1 species